rnacentral:rRNA from 1 species
CCUGACUAUGCCACCCUGAAGACACCUGAUCUUGUCUAAUUCUGAAAACUGAACAGGGUUGGGUCUGGUAGUACUUGGAUGGGAAACCACCAGGAAAUAUUAAAUGUCUACAGGA